ACAACAGUUCUGGUCAUCCUGAACUGAAACGACCUCUCGGUCUGGGUUUAGUGAUUCUAAAACAAGACCAGUCAAUGAGAAUAUCACACUAAAUGACCUGCGUUGUUUUCCCUUUGAUCGUAUCUGAACGCUCCCCCUUUUUCAUCUCGUCCGAGCGAAACAAAAACAUCAUGGCGGUAUUGGUGAACAUGCACCAUGCGGGAUGCAAUGAAAACAGCUCUGGAUUCAGAUUGCAUCAGGACAAGCCUUCUAUCAGACUGCAUUACAGUGUACUCCAUUACCUCUCUGCUAAGGAGCUAACCACUCUAUCUCAAUCUUUGGUCCAAGGACAACACUGCUCUGAUGAGACUGCCAUAUGAUUUAGAAUGGAUCUUCAGGGUUCACAGAGGGUGUUUUAAUGCCCCCUCCCCUCAUGUCUCGACAACCAUCAAGCAUUACUCACUGCCUCGUCAAAGACCGUUCUUUUUCUUGGAAGGCCUUCUACAUCCAUCUACAUGCGGACAUUUUCAGUCCUCACCGGUUGCUUUUCUGUGCUGUUCUUCGUCCCG